rnacentral:rRNA from 1 species
AUACGUAGGGAGCGAGCGUUGUCCGGAAUUACUGGGUGUAAAGGGAGCGUAGGCGGGACUGCAAGUCAGAUGUGAAAUACCGGGGCUUAACCCCGGAGCUGCAUUUGAAACUGUGGUUCUUGAGUGAAGUAGAGGCAAGCGGAAUUCCUGGUGUAGCGGUGAAAUGCGUAGAUAUCAGGAGGAACACCGGUGGCGAAGGCGGCUUGCUGGGCUUUUACUGACGCUGAGGCUCGAAAGCGUGGGUAGCAAACAGGAUUAGAUACCCUGGUAGUCCACGCUGUAAACGAUGAUUACUAGGUGUGGGGGGACUGACCCCUUCCGUGCCGCAGUUAACACAAUAAGUAAUCCACCUGGGGAGUACGGCCGCAAGGUUGAAACUCAAAGGAAUUGACGGGG